rfam:Camelus ferus unplaced genomic scaffold scaffold852, whole genome shotgun sequence.
GAGGAUAUAGCUCAAGUGGUAGAGCGCAUGCUUAGCAUGCAUGAGGUCCUGGGUUCAAUCCCCAGUACCUCCA